rnacentral:rRNA from 1 species
AGCGAACGCUGGCGGCAGGCCUAACACAUGCAAGUCGAACGGACCCUUCGGGGUUAGUGGCGGACGGGUGAGUAACACGUGGGAACGUGCCUUUAGGUUCGGAAUAGCUCCUGGAAACGGGUGGUAAUGCCGAAUGUGCCCUUCGGGGGAAAGAUUUAUCGCCUUUAGAGCGGCCCGCGUCUGAUUAGCUAGUUGGGGGUGUAACGGACCACCAAGGCGACGGUCAGUAGCUGGUCUGAGAGGAUGAUCAGCCACAUUGGGACUGAGACACGGCCCAAACUCCUACGGGAGGCAGCAGUGGGGAAUCUUGCGCAAUGGGCGAAAGCCUGACGCAGCCAUGCCGCGUGAAUGAUGAAGGUCUUAGGAUUGUAAAAUUCUUUCACCGGGGACGAUAAUGACGGUACCCGGAGAAGAAGCCCCGGCUAACUUCGUGCCAGCCGCCGCUGUAAUAC